UAAUACGUAGGCAGCGAGCGUUGUUCGGAAUUACUGGGCGUAAAGAGUGUGUAGGCGGUGUUCCCAGUCUGUUGUGAAAUCUCCCGGCUUAACUGGGAGGGUGCAGCGGAAACUAGAAUGCUAGAGGGUGGGAGAGGUAAGCGGAAUUCCUGGUGUAGCGGUGAAAUGCGUAGAUAUCAGGAGGAACACCUGUGGUGUAGACAGCUUACUGGACCACUUCUGACGCUGAGACACGAAAGCGUGGGUAGCAAACAGGAUUAGAUACCCUGGUAGUCCACGCCCUAAACGAUGCAUACUUG
rnacentral:rRNA from 1 species